rnacentral:lncRNA from 1 species
UUUUGAGAAAUAUGCAAUUUUUUCUAGUAAGAAUACUUUUGAGGAGGAAAAAUGUGUAAUAUGCUCUUCUUUGAAUAAUAUACGAAUGUGUGAAAGAGUGAUGUAUUUAGGAUUGCCUACUAUUGCGGGAAGAUCUAAAAAAGAAAUAUAGAAUUUUAUCUAAAAUAAAUGGUUGGAAAGGAAAGUUUCUAAGUCAAGAAGGG